UACGAAGGGGGCUAGCGUUGUUCGGAAUCACUGGGCGUAAAGCGCACGUAGGCGGAUUUUUAAGUCAGGGGUGAAAUCCCGAGGCUCAACCUCGGAACUGCCUUUGAUACUGGAGAUCUUGAGUUCGGAAGAGGUAAGUGGAACUGCGAGUGUAGAGGUGAAAUUCGUAGAUAUUCGCAAGAACACCAGUGGCGAAGGCGGCUUACUGGUCCGGAACUGACGCUGAGGUGCGAAAGCGUGGGGAGCAAACAGG
rnacentral:rRNA from 1 species